rnacentral:ncRNA from 1 species
CAGAAUAAGGCCAAAGCCCGGGUGACCGGGUGACGGAAAGCCACGGGUCCGCGAAGCGCGGACGGCCGGGUUGCCUGAG